GAAGGUAGAACAUAAGCAGCUGAUGGGACCCUAGGGGAAAGCCCAGGGACCCCGUCCACAGUGGUGGAACACGCCUCUUAUUAUGCUUAUAACCCCAGUGAGUUGUGGGAAUUAGGUAAAUAGUGCCGGCAGCGUCUGAGGGAGCUGAUAGCAUUUUUUGUUCCGCCUCUGAGAUGGAGAAGCUGACUUCGCAAAAGGAAAGGUCAGAAGUGCAGAUUGUUUUUGUAGACUAUUCUUUGAAGAAGCUUUGUUAUAUCAGAAAGGAGAGAAAUCAAGUGGUAACUCAAGAAGACAGCAAAUUUAAGAACUCAUGUUUUUGGAAGGAAGACCCAAAAGCAUGGCUAUUGAUGACAAACAGGGGGCCUAUGGAGAAACACUGAACACAUACCAGAACAAGGAGAAUAGUCUCUGCAGCAAGCCUGAAGGAGGCGUGGGAAGAACUGACCCAAAGAACAAGCUGAGCUGACAGACUUAAAAUGAAAAUAAAAUGACAGACAGACAAUUCAAGGAGUGCCAUGUGGGACAGCAGAUCUCUAGAGCUUCAUCUUGCUUGGCUGAAACUGUAUGCUCACUGAUAGUAACUUCCAUGGCCCCUCUCCAGCCCCUGGCAACCACCAUGCCAGUCUUCACUAUAUGAUCACUGACAUUUUUAUUUAUAUUAUAUUAUAUUAUAUUAUAUUAUAUUUUAUAUUGUGCACUUAAAAUUUGUUAAGAGUGUGGAUCUCAUGUUAAGUGUUUUUACUAAAAUAAAAAUUUUUAAAAGAAAAGACCAAAAAGGCCAGGCGCAGUAGCUCACACCUGUAAUCCCAGCACUUUGGGAGGCCGAGGUGGGCUGAUCACCUGAAGUCAGGAGUUCGAGACCAGCCUAACCAACAUGGUGAAAGCCCAUCUCUACUAACUACAAAAAAUUAGCUGGGUGUGGUGGUGCAUGCCUGUAAUUCCAGCUACUCAAGAGGCUGAGGCAGGAGAAUCACUUGAACCCUGGAGCCGGAGGCUACAGUGAGCUGAGAUCAUGCCAUUGCGCUCCAGCCUGGGCAACAACAGCAAAACUCUGUCUCGAAGAAAAAAAAAAAGAAAAAAAAAAGAAAGGACCAAAAUAUGAAAGCGAUCAUCCUUUCUUUGAGAGAGGAAAGAAGGGAACAAUGGAGAAACACAUGUGCCUGAAGCUAGAAAGCACCAGCAAAGAGAACUCAUGUCUGGUG
rnacentral:lncRNA from 10 species